UCGCACAGCUGGUUUCCAAAAUAACAAAAAUCACAUUUUCUGAAAAACAAAUUCAAUUAUGUUAAUUCAAGCAUUAAAAUCUUAAGUAAAACGAUACACACUCAUGACGGAUAUUGGUGAUGUCAAUUGCAGUACGAGCCCAAAGCGGCAGAAUUCUAGACUUGUGGUGCGUGCGUCCACGUUUCGACUGGCGAGGUCUCCUCCUGCUGGAAAAGUUUUAUGGCACGUGGAUCGGUAGCACUCGCACCAAGCCGGAAAGGUCCAAGGAGCUGUAAGCAUGAAGAAUUUUAUCCACGGGGACAUGUGUCGUCUUUGAGCCUGUCUGCCGCAGUACUUUCUGCGAAUCGCUUUCAAUCGAGCUGCUGCACUGCUCGUGGAUGAAAUGGCAACGAAAUACAAUACUCAACGCUCCAGGGACAUCUGUCUCCAUAUAUUGACCCGGGUCAUUCGUCUGAAUGAGCCAGAAUAGUUGGCUUGCGCCGACUGUGGCUGGCCAAGUUGGUCACCAGGGCAAUUACAGCACUUUAGUAUCUGUUUGGACAGGCGAUUGGGUGAAAAGAAAAUCGAAAAGGUUUUCGACAUCAUGGUGCGUUGCAGCACUACAAUACACAGAUGGCCGCCUCAAACGGCAGCAACAACAGCCAUAAGCAGGAGUGGGCCACUCCACGCGACAAUAGAAGCGGCAGCGGAUAUCCAGAAAACGAAGGCAACAACCAUUGGAACAGUUCUCAGCAAGAUAGACGUCGCAAUUCCGGAAAAAACAACAAAAAAUGUACUAUGGAACUACGAUUUGGUGCAUACCUUUAAUGACUUGAGAUUUAAAAGAAACGCCGAGUUUCAUAGCAGCCAGCUCUAGACACGAUGAAAAAACAUAAAAACCAGCUACCUUCUGCUGAUUUAUGUUAGCCUAGUACUCGGUCCGAAAAUUUCCAUUGAGCGAAGCAAUUUGAAAGGUUGUUUGUUGUACAACAAACACAGCACACAGCACACAUUUUUGUUAUAUUGCUUUCUCCUUCAUUUGGUGACCGAUCAGGACAUGAAACACCUCCUCGUGAUCAGGCGAAUGUCCUUUAUCGUUUUCAAUCCUUUCGGAUGUAAGGACUUUAAGGAUAAUGGCAUUUUAGGGAUAUUUUUAAAUGGAAUCCCCAUAACGCCAUAGCUUGGCUGUGUCCUGUCGGAGCAGGACAUGCCACACCUCCUCGUGAUCGGGACAAAGUCCCGGUCCGAUUACAAUCACUUCGGAUGGAAGGAUAAUGGAUGUUUAAGGAUGUUUUUAAGCUAGAAUCUAUACAACGCUAUAACUCGGCUGUUUCCUGUCAGAUCAUGACAUGCCAUGCCUCCUUGGGAGCGGAACUGUCUCCUCUAUCCUUUGAGCCCAAAGGGUCUCAAAGACUGCAGGAUAUGGCUGUUUUACGCAUUUUUGUAAGAAGUUUCGUGUUAGCCCCCAAAAGAUACUUCAAAAUAUGAUAACUGUAUUGAGCACCCCGAAA